GUCCACGCCCUAAACGAUGUCAACUGGUUGUUGGGUCUUAAUUGACUUGGUAACGCAGCUAACGCGUGAAGUAGACCGCCUGGGGAGUACGGUCGCAAGAUUAAAACUCAAAGGAAUUGACGGGGACCCCGCACAAGCGGUGGAUGAUGUGGAUUAAUUCGAUGCAACGCGAAAACCUUACCUACCCUUGACAUGGAAGGAAUCCCCGAGAGAUCGGGGAGUGCCCGAAAGGGAACCUUUACACAGGUGCUGCAUGGCUGUCGU
rnacentral:rRNA from 1 species